rnacentral:rRNA from 1 species
AACGAACGCUGGCGGCAUGCCUAACACAUGCAAGUCGAACGAGAUCUUCGGGUCUAGUGGCGCACGGGUGCGUAACGCGUGGGAAUCUGCCCUUUGGUUCGGAAUAACAGUUGGAAACGACUGCUAAUACCGGAUGAUGACGAAAGUCCUAAGAUUUAUCGCCAGAGGAUGAGCCCGCGUAGGAUUAGCUAGUUGGUGUGGUAAAGGCGCACCAAGGCGACGAUCCUUAGCUGGUCUGGGAGGAUGAUCAGCCACACUGGGACUGAGACACGGCCCAGACUCCUACGGGAGGCAGCAGUGGGGAAUAUUGGACAAUGGGCGAAAGCCUGAUCCAGCAAUGCCGCGUGAGUGAUGAAGGCCUUGGGGUUGUAAAGCUCUUUUACCCGGGAUGAUAAUGACAGUACCGGGAGAAUAAGCUCCGGCUAACUCCGUGCCAGCCGCCGCCGUAA